rnacentral:rRNA from 1 species
UACGGAGGGGGCUAGCGUUGUUCGGAAUUACUGGGCGUAAAGCGCACGUAGGCGGCUUUGUAAGUUAGAGGUGAAAGCCCAGGGCUUAACCCUGGAAUUGCCUUUAAGACUGCAUCGCUAGAAUCGUGGAGAGGUAAGUGGAAUUCCGAGUGUAGAGGUGAAAUUCGUAAAUAUUCGGAAGAACACCAGUGGCGAAGGCGACUUACUGGACACGUAUUGACGCUGAGGUGCGAAAGCGUGGGGAGCAAACAGG